AGUUAAUGAGCUUGAAAAAGCAAUUGUUUUGAAAACAAUAGAUAGAUCUUAAUACCUCUAUUAACUU
rnacentral:tRNA from 2 species